UUUAAUUGCAACCAUGAGAUUCUGUGUUUAACUUUGAAUAAUUAGUAUUUUUAAUGUUAUAGGAUGAUGAAACAUAAAACGUACUUUACGCGUGACUUAUGUUUUCAAAUUUUUUUCAAAAAUUUUAAAUAAGACGGGCAAUCAAAAUUAAGCACGAAAAAUCAUGGCUGCACUUAAA
rfam:Oryza glaberrima chromosome 3 Oglab03_0146_22, whole genome shotgun sequence.